rnacentral:snoRNA from 1 species
UUAGUGUAGGGCAUCUCAGUAGUGCUGUAGACUCCUGAUGUUUGUGUUGUGAGAAAGCCAACCUUGGAGACUUGAGAACUAA